rnacentral:rRNA from 2 species
CGGGAGGCAGCAGUAGGGAAUCUUCCACAAUGGACGAAAGUCUGAUGGAGCAACGCCGCGUGAGUGAUGAAGGUUUUCGGAUCGUAAAACUCUGUUGUUAAAGAAGAACAAGUGUUAGAGUAACUGUUAACACUUUGACGGUAUUUAACCAGAAAGCCACGGCUAACUACGUGCCAGCAGCCGCGGUAAUACGUAGGUGGCAAGCGUUGUCCGGAUUUAUUGGGCGUAAAGCGAGCGCAGGCGGUUUUGUAAGUCUGCUGUGAAAGCCCUCAGCUCAACUGAGGAAGUGCAGUGGAAACUACAAAACUUGAGUACAGAAGAGGAAAGUGGAACUCCAUGUGUAGCGGUGAAAUGCGUAGAUAUAUGGAAGAACACCAGUGGCGAAGGCGGCUUUCUGGUCUGUUACUGACGCUGAGGCUCGAAAGCAUGGGUAGCGAACAGGAUUAGAUACCCUGGUAGUCCAUGCCGUAAACGAUGAAUACUAGGUGUUGGAGGGUUUCCGCCCUUCAGUGCCGCAGCUAACGCAUUAAGUAUUCCGCCUGGGGAGUACGACCGCAAGGUUGAAACUCAAAGGAAUUGACGGGGGCCCGCACAAGUGGUGGAGCAUGUGGUUUAAUUCGAUGCUACGCGAAGAACCUUACCAGCUCUUGACAUCUUCUGCCAACCCAAGAGAUUGGGCGUUCCCUUCGGGGACAGAAUGACAGGUGGUGCAUGGUUGUCGUCAGCUCGUGUCGUGAGAUGUUGGGUUAAGUCCCGCAACGAGCGCAACCCUUAUUAUUAGUUGCCAGCAUUUAGUUGGGCACUCUAGUGAGACUGCCGGUGAUAAACCGGAGGAAGGUGGGGACGACGUCAAAUCAUCAUGCCCCUUAUGAGCUGGGCUACACACGUGCUACAAUGGAUGGUACAACGAGUCGCGAAACCGCGAGGUCAAGCUAAUCUCUUAAAGCCAUUCUCAGUUCGGAUUGCAGGCUGCAACUCGCCUGCAUGAAGUUGGAAUCACUAGUAAUCGUGGAUCAGCAUGCCANCGGUGAAUACGUUCCCGGGCCUUGUACA